rnacentral:tRNA from 1 species
CGGGGCGUAGCUCAGCCUGGUAGAGCGCUUGCUUUGGGAGCAAGAAGUCGCAAGUUCGAAUCUUGUCGCCCCGA